GGCGAGUGAAGCGGCAACAGCUCAAAUUUGAAAUCUGGCUCUCGGGCCCGAGUUGUAAUUUGUAGAGGAUGCUUUUGGUGAGGUGCCUUCCGAGUUCCCUGGAACGGGACGCCAUAGAGGGUGAGAGCCCCGUCUGGUUGGACACCGACCCUCUGUAAAGCUCCUUCGACGAGUCGAGUAGUUUGGGAAUGCUGCUCUAAAUGGGAGGUAUAUGUCUUCUAAAGCUAAAUACCGGCCAGAGACCGAUAGCGCACAAGUAGAGUGAUCGAAAGAUGAAAAGAACUUUGAAAAGAGAGUUAAAAAGUACGUGAAAUUGUUGAAAGGGAAGCGCUUGUGACCAGACUUGGGCUUGGUUGAUCAUCCGGGGUUCUCCCCGGUGCACUCUUCCGGCCCAGGCCAGCAUCAGUUCGCCCUGGGGGACAAAGGCUUCGGGAAUGUGGCUCUCUCCGGGGAGUGUUAUAGCCCGCUGCGUAAUACCCUGUGGCGGACUGAGGUUCGCGCAUUCGCAAGGAUGCUGGCGUAAUGGUCAUCAGUGACCCGUCUUGAAACACGGACCAAGGAGUCGUCUUCGUAUGCGAGUGUUCGGGUGUCAAACCCCUACGCGAAAUGAAAGUGAACGCAGGUGAGAGCUUCGGCGCAUCAUCGACCGAUCCUGAUGUUAUCGGAUGGAUUUGAGUAAGAGCAUACGGGGCCGGACCCGAAAGAAGGUGAACUAUGCCUGUGUAGGGUGAAGCCAGAGGAAACUCUGGUGGAGGCUCGCAGCGGUUCUGACGUGCAAAUCGAUCGUCAAACAUGGGCAUGGGGGC
rnacentral:rRNA from 1 species